rnacentral:lncRNA from 1 species
AGGUUGGCCAGAACGUCGAGGCUCGUGAAGAAGGCAAUGACUGCCGUGGCUGCGAGUAAGGUGACCGUGGCAUUGACAGGAGUGCCGGUUUUGGAAUCAACUUGUGCAAACCAUGGUGGCACCAUGUGGGUUCGGGCAAUGUGAGUGAGGUACCGCGCCUGUCCAACUGCCCCGCCAAGCAGCGCGCUUGUCAUGCCUUCCAAUGCGCCCGCUGCCACAAGGUACUUAGCCCAUCCCAUCCCAACAGCUUGAAACGCAACCGGAAAUGCAGCUUGUUCGUCGAUUUGGUUAUAUGGCUGCAUAAGGCCUAAUGUGAGUGCAAGCAAGCAAUAGAGCACUGUAACAAUCACCAUUGAGCCGACAAGACCAAUUGGGAUGUCCUUUGCGGGAUUCUUGGUCUCCUCCGCCAUGGUUGAAACGGCAUCAAAUCCAACGUACGCGAAGAACACAACAGCCGACGCUUGGAACACGCCGCGCGGGCCAAAAGGGGCGAAAUCGAUGUAGUUUUUGGUAUCAGCUUUGGUGAGGCCGGCGAUGAUGAUGAAGACAAUGACAAUUAUAUGGAAAAUCGAGGCAAUGUAGUUGAGACGAGAAGAGCCCUUUAUGCUGAGGACUGCAAGGCAGCAGAUGCAAAUAAGGACAGCGACAGCAAUGGGAUCGAGGUACUUGUAGUCCUCUGGGAAACCGUGGGCUAUGAUGCGGAAAUCAUUGGUGUCGCUGCGGUUGCAGAGGGUGGUGAAGUAGGAUGUCCAGGAACGAGCAACGGCUGCGCCACUAAUGACGUACUCGAGGAGGAUGUUGCCUGCUGCAAUGAAGGCCACGAAGUCCCCAAGCUCCACCCUAAGGUAGGCAAAUGAGCCACCUGAAAAAUCAAAUUCAAUCUAAUUAUAUUAGGUGGGAACCUAAUUAAGUUGAUCUAACUUUAAAUGUUGUGAAAUUGUGGCGACACAAACCAACAAAUUACUACUUUAAUUACUUCGAAAUAUUAUAUUAGACAUAGCAAAAUAUAAUCAAUAGUUAAGGAUUCGAACUCGAGACGUUGAUACUUUUAGCCAGCUUAGUUGCAACGGGGUUCUUUCUAAUUGUUAUUUCUUAACCAUCAAUUAAAUGAAGAAAGAAAAGUCAGGGCAAUGCUUGAAUAUAUAUAUAUUUUUUUUGGGGACAAAAGCAAUGCUUCAAUUGAAUGCAUGUGUUAAGUUAAUAUAUCCAAAAUUUGAAAUAAAACAAUUUGUUUGUAGCUAAUCAACCGGAUAAUACUAGAAUUAAGUAUAAAUCUUGAAUACAUGAAAAAAAAGUCUAAAAUCUUGGAUAGGUGGUGGGGACAGAGUUGAAGAGAUUUGCGUGGAGGUCUACACUAUUGACUUCGAAUUUUUUAAGUAAACGUAAGCUCCCUGCCAGAUUUCCACCAGUCACCAUCUAAACAACUCCCCCACGGUUCCACCUCCAUGAUUCCAUAUUAACUUAGACUUUGUAUAAAACGUUGUGUAACUAAGCGAAAAUCAUACUGUACAUCUCAAGUUCAUAUCAAUACUGGAUUAUAUAAUGGGAGUUUUAUCGAAAAGUCCGUAGCAUUGUUCACUUUAACGAAAAAUCACAUUUUUACAUUAAAAAGUCACACUUGGUACUAUUCAUUUUACCAUUUAUUUUGUCCUUAUCGUUAAAACUCAAAGUCUUCAAACCAUUUUCAUUAGUUUUCCUUAAAAUAAUUGUGGAAGGGAUGUGACGGAAAGAAAAAGGGGAACAAUAUCGCGAACUUUUCGUUAAAACUCUCUUAUUUUAAACCGUUCAUGGUUGAAACAAGACGAUAAUGUGCAGGCAAAGGCUAGGGAGGGGAUUUUUAUUUAUUUUUUUUAUAAAAAUAGGAAUUAGUUGUGGGGUUCACAUCACAUUAAACUUUAACGAUCCGAAUCGUUUAUUUUUUAAGUUGUAUCUCAUAGAUCAUCCUUGCAAAAUAUUAGCCAAAUCGGAAAUAUUUAAGACGUCUAAUUGGAUUCAAAGAAAAGAACGAAUAUUUUGUUAUAUAAGAAAUAAUGAAAUUUGAUAUUGAUAAUUAAAUAGGUAAAUGAUUUCGAAUUGAAUUAAAUUUUUACAAAAAUGAUCUAUGAAUUAAGAUUUAUGAAAUAUAAUGUAUACAAGCCCUUUAUGCAAAAGAAUUCCAUUUUUUGAAAAAAAACAAGGAUUAGUUGUGGAGAGAGCCCCACACAUAAUUCCUAUUUUUUUUUUUUAAAUGAGGAUCCCUUUGAUAAAGUGUAUAUAUAUACACACAUAUAUAAAACAAUAAUAUUUAAAAAAUGCUCGAAUAUUUAGUAAGUGUGUAGCCGUACCUGCAACAGGAAUCUCGACGGCGAACUCGGUGUAACAGAAAACAGAGAGCAUGGCGGAGACGCCCGAGACGACGUACGACAGCACGAUGGCGGCGCCUGCGUGCCUUCUCGCCUCCAGUCCUGUGAGCGCGAAUAUUCCGGCGCCGAUGACAACGCCAAUUCCGAACCAGAUGAGGUCCCACCAGUUGAGCUUCUUCUUCAUCUCGUGAUGACUCCGCGCCUUCACCUCCACCAGCUCCGUGCUGUCCGCCGACCGGGAAAGGACGCGAUCCACGAACCGGAACGGAGUCUUCUUCAGCGCAUUGACGUAAUUGCCCCAGCUCUGAAACGACUCCUCGGGGAGAAAAUCGUCCUUUCGGUACGUGCAGCCUCUCCGCCGUAUCCCCUCAUCGUCUCCUCCGCCGCCCGCUCCCAUCUGUAAAAAUUCAAACUAAAAAAUUUCAGAAAAAUCGAAUUAUCAGAGAAAAUAAAUAAAUAAAAUCACACUAUGAUCCAGAGAGACUAAAUUCAAUCCCUUAAUUAGUUUCUGUUUGGCUGCCGAGAAAGAUGAGGAAAAUGAUUAGAUCCGUACCGUACGUCUGAUUUUGGCUUAUAAAUUAUUCUAGAGAGAGAGUGAGCGUCCGUUUUUCUCCGAUGACCGGCGGGGAGAGAGAGAGAGAGAGAGAGAGACGCGGGAAAGCUCGUUCAGCUGAGCAAGCAGUUAUAUAGGCCCACUUGGUUUACCGCUCAUUACUCAUGUGUUUAGAGCUGUUACACACUGUGACACUGGUCAACGAUGGAAUCUGAACCGUUGAUUUUUGUGUGUCAGAGAUUCACUCCAUUAACUGUUUUUAGUAACAUACUACAAACUAUUUCCAACCGUUAGAUUCAUCUCAGGCUUCAUCGACGGUCACUUGUUAUUUGAGACGAUUGUGAGCUGUUGGCUUGGUGAAUCUCCGGCUGAGAUUCACUUUAUUUAUGUGCUUAUGACCAAUUGAGGUUAUGUUUUUAAGGCGAUUGUAAGCCGUUUAUCAUUUUUUUAUCCCUUUUUUCAUCUAUCUACAUGUUUUUUUUUUAACAACUUGAAAAUUACAAAAAAAAAUAAUUUUCUUUUUCUGACAAUUAAACACUGUUAUAGGUACAUUUUAGCAUGCAUUUCUCUAUUUUAAUCAUUUAGGUCAUCAUAUAAUUCUAAUAAUUGAAAUAAUAGUUUACGAAUGAUAUUUUUCUACUACACCCAAGCAAGUCUUUAAUUAUAAUUCAUGAUUACAAAGUAAAGCUUCUAAAAACAAACAUUUUUCUACACUAAUACCAGUACUUUCUGUUAACCGCAAGAUAGAUCAUAAGCUUCAAGUUAGCUCUUUGAUCUUUCUCCUUGUUGGCUUCUUGUGCUUCAAACCUUUUGUAUACGAAAAGUUUAGCAACAAAUACAAAAACGCGUUAUAACCGUUAAAAAUAUUAUAAAUUUUACAUAUAUUAAAUUAAAUGGGUAAAUAGAUAUUUAUUAUAACCGUGGGUAAUACCCAUAAUCAAUGGAUACCCGUUAUAACCGCAGGUAAUACCCAUAACCGCCCAUUUAAAUUUCACGGAUAAACGGUUAUACCCAUAAUCGUUUGUUCAUCUAAACGGUUACACAAACUCAUGGGUAUUUUGCCCAUCCCUAGUUAGUAAUAUUGUGGUUCAACCUUUGGCUACGACUGAAGAAGAAUAUCACUAUAACGUAAUAUUCAGUGGCUACAACUUUGCUUGUUUGUCUAAUAUAUUUUUUUUUCUUUUUUUGGAAGUUUGGUUUUAUUUGGAAUUAUUUCACAUGGAAAUGUGAAGCUGGAAAUUUUUUAAAAUUUUUUAUUUUUAAUUUGAUAUUUUUCAAAUAAUUGUAUAGAGAGUGAUGCAGACGGGUAGGGACGUGAAUUUGGACAAGAUUCGGUAGUUUUUAAAACGAUGUCCUAAUUGGACGGCUGUGAUGCUACUCCUAAAAAAAAGGAAUUCCCAUAGUUGUCGUCACGUGGAUAGUGAUUACUGAGAACCCCACAAAUUUUUAUUUUGUCAAACGAUGAAUUUUGUUAGAUUAGAUAUUAGAUUAGCCACUCACGAGAUUCAAACUCAGGCCGUCAUGCAAGUAUUCAACAUCUUUUCACCACUGUGGUAAAGGGUCACUUGUAGUAAGAAUGUCACAUCCCGGUCCGGGUCCCCCACCACAUUCCGGGCUCGACUCCACUAUAGCACGAUAUUGUUCGCUUUGGGCCCCGACCACACCCUCACGGUUUUGUUUCUGGGAACUCACACGAGAACUUCCCAGUGGGUCACCCAUCAUGGGAAUGCUCUCGCGCGAACUCGCUUAACUUCAGAGUUCCAAUGGGUGAUCCAUUGGGAAGUUCUCGUGUGAGUUUCCAAAAACGACACCGUGAAAGCGUGAUCGGGGCUCAAAACGGACAAUAUCGUGUUAUGGUUGAGUCAAGCUCGAGAUGUGGUGGGGGCCCGAGCCGAGAUGUGACAGUCGAUCCCUGAAAUUGACGAAAGCUUCUUCUUGUUAAUAUGUGCAUGUUCACUUAGGAUGAAUACCACGUCUUAAGGGUUGCAUUGUUUUUCAGAGGGUUUUCACAAAACUUAAUGAGCAUGCAUGUUUAGAUUUGAUCUGAAUGCCACAAAUAGAUUGCAUGUUUGAUAUACGCUUUAUAUUGGGGGUCCAAGUAGGCAUAUAUUAGGAAAAUCUAGCCUUCAAAAUAUGCAUGUAUAGGUCAUAAGUAAUUAGGAGAACUACUUAGGAUUGUUAAGACGACGGCGAAACCCCAGUGCUUUCUGAAUUUGAUUUCUACUCUUUAAAAAUAAAUUCGUUUUUAUUAAAUUAGAUCAUAAAUCAAUCUUCCCAAAACUUUAGUUUUAAAUAAUUAAUUGAGAUUUGGUUUAAUACGAAUGAUUUAAUAAUCCCUGUGAAGAACGACUUUGCUAGAGCCAUCUAUACUACAAUAUCCUUGUUACUCUUGCAAGUAUUAUAAAUGUUUUUAACUCCUUUGCACGUGGUAAAAAUCCUAUCCACAAUUAACAUCGUCUUUUUUGAGGCCAUUUAAGUAGCUUUUAAUUGCCACAUAGUAUUACGGAUUAGUGUGGUAUUUCUCAACAAUUCUCUACCUAUUUUGUUGAUGCGAAUCCCUUUGCGAAUACAGGCCAUUCUCAAGUGUGCGAGAAUAUUUGGGUGCAUUGUAUUGCUACAGUAGCCUCCCUGGUCAGAUCAUAAAUUUUGGCCCGAUGGAGUUAGAUUGUCUACGUAUAAAAAGGUCGUACCCAGUGCACAAGGCUCCCGCUUUACGCAGGGUCUGGGAGAGGUGAAUGUCGGCUAGCCUUACCCCCAUUUAUGGAGAGGCUGCUCCCAAGUCUCGAACCCGAGACCUACCGCUCAUGGGCGAAGGCACUUGCCAUCGCACCAAGUGCGACCUCUAGAUUGUCUACGUAUCAUUUUGAAAAUAAAUAAACCCCUCUAGGUACAUUGUAAGAAAUAAAGUGAAUUGAGAAAGAAAGUUGUGGUGUAUCAAUAAAAGUAAAAUACUACGUACUUCAAAACAGAUUUAUAGACAACAUUUAAUUGUAAAUCACAUCUCUAAUAAGCAAGCUGAUAAAACUAAACAGCACUAAUCACACACAAACAAUUAAAUCUUCACACACAAAACAUACCCUUUCUUAACUAGCAGGAGGUGCAGAGGCAUUGCUACCAUUUCCAGCGUCUAAGCCGGCGUCCCUCGUGGCCACCCUUGCAGCUUGAACCUUCUUCAACUCAUCGUUUGUGCCGCCCUCCAGCCUCUUCGCUUCGGAGUCCUUUGCCGUGUCAUAAGACGCGUGCAAUCCGAAGAUGAAGUAGUAAACCAAGAUGAUCAGAGUCCACACUCCAAACCUUAUGAACGAGGCGUGAUCGAUUGACCCGAGCAGGAAAAUGUUGAUGGCAAUUGAAAGAGAUGGCAACCAUGGCACCAGUGGCACUCCCCAGAGCUUCGGACUCCUUGCUUGGGGGACAAGUAACCAAAUCCCUAAAGUACCCAAGAACCAAAGCGGCGCGGUUACCACGUAGGCAGUCCAAUCAUCUGUUCUACUCCAAUAGACAGAGGUGGCAAUUGAAGAGCUAAUUAUGAUGAAAAGGAAGGCAAUGAACUUGUUUCUGUUGGCCCGAGUUGUGACGCCGCUGACAUAGUAGCGGCGAACAAGGAGAGCGAUGGCAACAAGGCUGAAGAUGAACAGAGUGGAGAUGGAGAGAAGGUUGGCCAGAAUGUCAAGGCUUGUGAAGAAGGCAAUGAUUGCGGUGGCUGCAAGCAUGGUGACCGUGGCAUUGACAGGAGUGCCGGUUUUGUAAUCAACUUGCGCAAACCAUGGGGGCACCAUGUGGGUUCGGGCAAUGUGAGUGAGGUACCGCGCCUGUCCAACUGCCCCAACAAGCAGCACGCUUGUCAUGCCUUUCAAUGCACCCGCUGCCACAACGUACUUAGCCCAUCCCAUCCCAACAUCUUCAAACGCAACCGAAAAUGGAGCUUGUUUGUCGAUUUGGCCAUACGGCCG